UACGAAGGGGGCUAGCGUUGCUCGGAAUUGCUGGGCGUAAAGGGCGCGUAGGCGGACAGUUUAGUCAGAGGUGAAAGCCCAGGGCUCAACCUUGGAAUUGCCUUUGAUACUGGCUGUCUUGAGUACGGGAGAGGUGUGUGGAACUCCGAGUGUAGAGGUGAAAUUCGUAGAUAUUCGGAAGAACACCAGUGGCGAAGGCGACACACUGGCCCGUUACUGACGCUGAGGCUCGAAAGCGUGGGGAGCAAACAGG
rnacentral:rRNA from 1 species